AUCCAUAACACGUUUCAUCUGUAUGGCUUUUUCAAAUUGAGUAAAAACUCUAUUUGAAAAAGCAAUACAGGUGAAAUGUGUUAUGGAU